AGGGUUUGAUUCUGGCUCAGGACGAACGCUGGCGGCGUGCCUAAUACAUGCAAGUCGAACGAACUCUGGUAUUGAUUGGUGCUUGCAUCAUGAUUUACAUUUGAGUGAGUGGCGAACUGGUGAGUAACACGUGGGAAACCUGCCCAGAAGCGGGGGAUAACACCUGGAAACAGAUGCUAAUACCGCAUAACAACUUGGACCGCAUGGUCCGAGCUUGAAAGAUGGCUUCGGCUAUCACUUUUGGAUGGUCCCGCGGCGUAUUAGCUAGAUGGUGGGGUAACGGCUCACCAUGGCAAUGAUACGUAGCCGACCUGAGAGGGUAAUCGGCCACAUUGGGACUGAGACACGGCCCAA
rnacentral:rRNA from 1 species